rnacentral:lncRNA from 1 species
GUGACCCGUUACCAUGACAACCCAGACUGGUGGAGGUGACCCGUUACCAUGACAACCCAGACUGGUGGAGGUGACCCGUUACCAUGACAACCCAGACUGGUGGAGGUAACCCGUUACCAUGUAGACCCAGACUGGUGGAGGUGACCCGUUACCAUGACAACCCAGACUGGUGGAGAUGGCACGUUACCAUGACAACCCAGACUGGUGGAGGUGACCCGUUACCAUGACAACCCAGACUGGUGGACGUGACCCGUUACCAUGUAGACCCAGACUGGUGGAGGUGACCCGUUACCAUGUAGACCCAGACUGGUGGAGGUAACCCGUUACCAUGUAGACCCAGACUGGUGGAGGUGACCCGUUACCAUGUAGACCCAGACUGGUGGAGGUAACCCGUUACCAUGUAGACCCAGACUGGUGGAGGUGACCCGUUACCAUGUAGACCCAGACUGGUGGAGGUGACCCGUUACCAUGACAACCCAGA